rfam:Hordeum vulgare subsp. vulgare, WGS project CAJW01000000 data, contig: morex_contig_372453
UACAUACUUCCUUCGUCUUAAAAUUCUUGUUUUAGAUUUGUCUAGAUAUGAAUGUAUGUAGUCACAUUUUGAUAUUUAGAUACAUCUAUUUCUAGACAAACCUAGAAUAAAAAAUUUAAAACGGAGGGAGUGCUAG